GCUGACGAGAGAGGACAGACCAGAGACCAGAGACCAGAGACCAGAGUCCAGACCAGAGUCCAGACCAGAGACCAGACCCAGGAUCCAAAAGCCAGGACUUCACCCAGGACUUGAAAUCCAAACUUAGACCAGUUAUUGGAGCAGGAGGGACUAAACCCGGACCAGAGUCUGCACCAAGACCCAGACCAGGACCAGGACCAGGACCAGGAUCAGGACCAGGAUCAGUCAGGUCCCGGCGUCGGCGAGUGAAGAGCAGAGGUCAAAGGAGCUGCUUCUGUCUCGGGGCGUCAGGCGCUCGGUGAUGUGGAUGUGAAAACUACAAAACAAAAUGAGUCUGGAGCUGCAGCCGAGGAGAUUCUCUGAGUCUCUGGUUCUG